UACGUAGGUGACCAGCGUUGUCCGGAUUUACUGGGCGUAAAGAGCGCGCAGGCGGUCGUUCAAGUCGAGUGUGAAAGCCCCCGGCUCAACUGGGGAGGGUCACUCGAUACUGAUCGACUUGAAGGCAGGAGAGGGAAGCGGAAUUCCCGGUGUAGUGGUGAAAUGCGUAGAUAUCGGGAGGAACACCAGUGGCGAAGGCGACUACCUGGCCUGUUCUUGACGCUGAGGCGCGAAAGCCAGGGGAGCAAACGGG
rnacentral:rRNA from 1 species